AUUGAACGCUGGCGGCAGGCCUAACACAUGCAAGUCGAACGAGUGGCGGACGGGAGGGUCAUGUCUCGGCCACUGACUGAUGGAGGGGGUUAACUACCGGAAACGGUAGCUAAUACCGCAUAGCACAGGCUGGGCCCAGAUGGGAUGAGCUUGGAGGGGGGGUAACGGCUCACCUAGGCGACGAUCCCUAGCUGGUCUGAGAGGAGGACCAGCCACACGGGAACGGAGACACGGUCCAGACUCCUACGGGAGGCAGCAGUGGGGAAUAUUGCACAAUGGGCGCAAGCCUGAUGCAGCCAUGCCGCGUGUAUGAAGAAGGCCUUCGGGUUGUAAAGUACUUUAAGCGGGGAGGCGUUACCCGCAGAAGAAGCACCGGCUAACUCCGUGCCAGCAGCCGCGGUAAUUC
rnacentral:rRNA from 1 species